UAUGUGUUACGAUAGAUAUCGUGGAACAUUCUAUUGCCCUGGAAAUGGCACAUGUUGUGGAAGUUCUGGAAAUCAGUUUUGUUGUGAUGAGAAAUACAGAUCUUCAAUUACGUCACGAGAUGCUUUUUAUUUCCUCGGAGUGCUCGGAUUGAUAUUCUUGGUUGCAGUGGUGGGAAUUUCAGUCUUUUGCAAUUAUUUGAGAAAGACUGAACGACGCAGAUCAUUAAUAAGUUCAAGGACGACCCGAAGCCUUGGUGAGCUGACAGAGACGGCCUCGCAGACCGAAGACAUUAGGCAGGGAACCUCAAGAUUGUCGCCGAGGGCUUCAGUGUUCCCACACAAUGUUUAUGGUUCGACAUAUCAGUACAGUUUGUCAGGGGAUCAGAGCGGGGCACAGACAGAGACACACACUAAUCAACAGAAUACUCCCCCGAGCUCUGUUCCGAGAGAAGAUCCGCCUCCUUACAGCCAAACGUUAUAGGAAAAUUAAUGAAAUUACGUCGCUUCACAUUUUAUGUCAUAAUUAUAUUUUAUUACUGAA